rnacentral:rRNA from 1 species
AUUGAACGCUGGCGGCAGGCUUAACACAUGCAAGUCGAGCGGGGGAAGGUAGCUUGCUACUGGACCUAGCGGCGGACGGGUGAGUAAUGCUUAGGAAUCUGCCUAUUAGUGGGGGACAACAUCUCGAAAGGGAUGCUAAUACCGCAUACGUCCUACGGGAGAAAGCAGGGGAUCUUCGGACCUUGCGCUAAUAGAUGAGCCUAAGUCGGAUUAGCUAGUUGGUGGGGUAAAGGCCUACCAAGGCGACGAUCUGUAGCGUGUCUGAGAGGAUUAGCCGCCACACUGGGACUGAGCCACGGCCCAAACUCCUACGGGAGGCAGCAGUUGGGAAUAUUGGACAAUGGGGGGAACCCUGAUCCAGCCAUGCCGCGUGUGAAGAAGGCCUUAUGGUUGUAAAGCACUUUAAGCGAGGAGGAGGCUACUUUAGUUAAUACCUAGAGAUAGUGGACGUUACUCGCAGAAUAAGCACCGGCUAACUCUGUGCCAGCCGCCGCCGUAA